UACGUAGGGUCCGAGCGUUGUCCGGAAUUACUGGGCGUAAAGCGCGCGCAGGCGGCUUCCCAAGUGCCACGUGAAAGCCCCGGGCUCAACCCGGGAGGGUCGCGGCGAACUGGGAGGCUUGAGGCCGGUAGAGGUGGGUGGAACUCCUGGUGGAGUGGUGAAAUGCGUAGAGAUCAGGAAGAACACCCGUGGCGAAGGCGGCCCACUGGGCCGGUGCUGACGCUGAGGCGCGAAGGCGUGGGGAGCGAACGGG
rnacentral:rRNA from 1 species